rnacentral:rRNA from 1 species
UUCCGGUUGAUCCUGCCGGACCUGACUGCUAUCGGAUUGAUACUAAGCCAUGCGAGUCUUUGUAGUAAUACAAGGCAUACGGCUCAGUAACGCGUAGUCAACCUACCCUAUGGACAAGAAUAAUCUCGGGAAACUGAGCAUAAUUCUUGAUAGAUCAUAAUGCCUGGAAUGGUUUAUGGUUAAAAUGAUUCGUCGCCAUAGGAUGGGACUGCGGCCUAUCAGUUUGUUGGUGAGGUAAUGGCCCACCAAGACUAUUACAGGUACGGGCUCUGAGAGGAGUAGCCCGGAGAUGGGUACUGAGACACGGACCCAGGCCCUAUGGGGCGCAGCAGGCGAGAAAACUUUGCAAUGUGCGAAAGCACGACAAGGUUAAUCCGAGUGGUUUCUGCUAAAGGAACCUUUUGUUAGUCCUAGAAACACUGACGAAUAAGGGGUGGGCAAGUUCUGGUGUCAGCCGCCGCGGUAAAACCAGCACCUCAAGUGGUCAGGAUGAUUAUUGGGCCUAAAGCAUCCGUAGCCGGCUCUGUAAGUUUUCGGUUAAAUCUGUACGCUCAACGUACAGGCUGCCGGGAAUACUGCAAAGCUAGGGAGUGGGAGAAGUAGACGGUACUCGGUAGGAAGUGGUAAAAUGCUUUGAUCUAUCGAUGACCACCUGUGGCGAAGGCGGUCUACUAGAACACGUCCGACGGUGAGGGAUGAAAGCUGGGGGAGCAAACCGGAUUAGAUACCCGGGUAGUCCCAGCUGUAAACUAUGCAAACUCAAUGAUGCAUUGGCUUGAUGCUAAUGCAGUGUUGCAGGGAAGCCGUUAGGUUUGCCGCCUGGGAAGUACGUACGCAAGUAUGAAACUUAAAGGAAUUGGCGGGGGAGCACCACAAGGGGUGAAGCCUGCGGUUCAAUUGGAGUCAACGCCGGA